GGCAAAAUACACGUGGAAAUUUGACUCUAUUACAAAAGACCCCACCUCCACUAACAAAAGAAAACUUGUGACUCUUGUAAUUCAAGCAUUGGAUGGAUGCCUCUAAACUAUAGCUAAUUAUGUACAGAGGUUACAACAACAAUUUUCACAAAUUCAAAAAAAUACAUUAAUGAAUAAGUUCGUGAUUCCAUCAUCCAGACUCGAAAGACGUUGAGUGAAAAAGGAAGCCCUGUAAAAGAGUCACAAGAGCUGAACUUGUGUUGAUACCACCUUCCUGUCAUUGUACAACAAAUCAAUAAUAUACCAUGGGGACAAUAGCGUUAGUCUAAAGUCUAAACUGUUGUCUCCAAAAGAAUUCAGCAUCCACAACCCAAAUCAUCCUCAAACCGACCAAAUUUCAAAAUCCUAUCUUUAAAUCUACAUUGUUCCUGCUACAGUAUCCUCUUCCUAUGCCUAUCAAUGCCGUGCGCCAACCCAAGCUUCAUCAUUCCCAUACAAACCUCCACCUGACAUUUAAAAUUUUCAUUGAGCGCAGCAAUCACCAGUGA
rnacentral:lncRNA from 1 species